GGCGCGGGCAGGGCUCAGUCCCGGGGCUGCUUCCGGGGAGCCCCGCGGUGGCUGAGCCCCUGUCGCCCGCAGGAAGCGGAGUCUCAGGCGGACGUGCAGGGCCCCGGGGCCAGUGGGGACGAGUUCAGGUUCCCGUGCUACCGCUGGGUGGAGGGCGCUGGCAUCCUGAGACUGCCCGAGGGCACCGGCCGCACGGUGCUGGACGACCCUUAGGGCCUGUUCAGGCAGCGCCGGGAACACGAGCUGGAGGAGCGGAGGAAGCUGUACCGGUCAGCCCUCCCCCCGCACCCGACUCCUCCCGACCCC
rnacentral:lncRNA from 1 species